GAUGAACGCUGGCGGCGUGCCUAAUACAUGCAAGUCGAGCGAACGGACGAGAAGCUUGCUUCUCUGAUGUUAGCGGCGGACGGGUGAGUAACACGUGGAUAACCUACCUAUAAGACUGGGAUAACUUCGGGAAACCGUAGCUAAUACCGGAUGAUAUUUUGAACCGCAUGGUUCAAAAGUGAAAGACGGUCUUGCUGUCACUUAUAGAUGGAUCCGCGCUGCAUUAGCUAGUUGGUAAGGUAACGGCUUACCAAGGCAACGAUGCAUAGCCGACCUGAGAGGGUGAUCGGCCACACUGGAACUGAGACACGGUCCAGACUCCUACGGGAGGCAGCAGUAGGGAAUCUUCCGCAAUGGGCGAAAGCCUGACGGAGCAACGCCGCGUGAGUGAUGAAGGUCUUCGGAUCGUAAAACUCUGUUAUUAGGGAAGAACAUAUGUGUAUGUAACUGUGCACAUCUUGACGGUACCUAAUCAGAAAGCCACGGCUAACUACGUG
rnacentral:rRNA from 1 species